UUUAAGUUUUUAGAUUUUUGGGGGGAAAAUUCUAAGUUUUCUCUUGAGCAAAAGAAUAUACUAAAUAAGAACACUCAAUAUUUGAGAGGCAACUAUGAACAAAUGGAUGCCAACAAACUGGACAGGCUGGAAAACAAUGGCUCUCUGCUAGUGACUUCUUGCUCAUCAUGAUGUGCGCGCUCAAUUCUGUCCGUGGAGAACAACUUAGAGUAAAACAGCGUUCGCACUCGGGCUUCUCAGAAGUCAGAGGACACACUGGCUGCCACUGUUCUGUUCUCACCUUGGGUGGAAGUAGCUGUCCAGACCCCACUUGGAGAAGGGGUACCGUCCACCUGGUCCUGAUGACUCUUCCAAUGACCGGAGGGACCCCCAGGCUGGUACCACCAGAUGGGCACCUUCAGGAAACCCUGAAGAAUGGAGCAUUUCUAACUUCUGUGACGUACAUGCAUGGAGUGAAUUUCUGCUUCCACAGAGAGAAAUAUCUUGAUAACAGAAAACGUUC